ACCCGCCGGCUGCGCGGUCUCGGCCGCGGUGGCGGCGGCGACGGCGGCGACCCCCGCCUGGGUCAUGAUCCCAGGAGGGGAAGGCAGGAGUGUCUGACCGUCUGGGCGAAUCUCUCCGUCCGCGGCCACCGCCUGCUCCUCCGGGGCUGGGGGAGCGCGGGCCCAGGCCCUCCUCUCCCCCCGCCCCCGCCGCCUCUUUUUGCGGCCACCGCAGCCGCUGCGAGCCCGAGCCCUCAAGGCCGGAGACCCGGCGGCAGCGCGGCCUCAACUUUCCCAGCCCCCCUCCCCCCGCCCCUCCCCGCCCCUCCCGCGGCCGCAGCUCAGCAAGCGAACAGCCUACCCUGGGCGCGCCGCGUUCCCGCCUCUUUCACUCAACCCGCCAAUCAGGCUGCGGGAACGCUGCCGUGGUAGCCAAUAAGAAGACAGAAUGCCGUUGCACUACGCUAGAGGGCGGGAGGAGGCGGAGAGGAAACCAAGGAGUGAACGGGGAUCGGGCGGCCCAAUGAGGAGGGCCGGGGGGCGGAGGUGUGCAAGUUGGGUUGAAGAAACAGGAAAUAUUCUUAAAGGUAGAGUGACGGACAGGAAGGAAAGCCAGAGUUUGGAAGUGGAAAAAUUGAAAAGGAAGAGGGCACGGAAGUCUUUCGGAAUAGUUAGCCCCUCUUAACGUGGAGGGCAGGAAGGUGAGAAGAUACGUCUUAGUAAAUGUGGAGAAGAAAGAAUCAGACGUUUCCGACUUCUCGAUAACUGGAAGAUUGUUGCUGACUUGACGCUGCUCGCAUUCGUAGGCUGUGGUCUCUUGUCAUCCUUUAUUUGCAACAACACACAGAUUUCUGUGAAUUGGAGAUGGCCAUGUUCAGAAAUGCCCUGGGGGCCUCCCAGCUGGGACAAGGGAGUUUGGCAUUGGGGGAUGGGGUUUGAGAUCUCAAGCCUGGGUUACUAAAUACCUGGAUCUAGGAGAGGUAGGGCCAGGGGUCACGAAAUGGAGACCUGAGUGCCCCUUAACUCCAGGAUCUGUGUGGAGCCCUUGGAACCGUGAUCACAACUCCCUCUUCCUAGUUUCGCUUCAUAUUUUAUAACCUCCUGCUGAAACAGGUGUCCUCCACCUAGUUGCGGUUAUAGAUUUCCAAGCCCUUCCACAACCAGAUUUGGAAAUAUCCCAGAUCUUAGAUGUCCGUGGGCUAACUUCCAGAAGGUGCACACAGGGCAUGGCAUAAUGGGAAUUACUUGAGCCUGUAUACAGAAGCAGCAGACAUCGCAUUGAGCAAAAGGGUAAAGGCUAACAGUAACGGAGUCUUAUGUUUGUACAGCAGAUUGAAAAGCUAUGAUGAAACGGAAGGCCUGUAAUGUUGCUUAUAAACUGUGGUACUAAUAAACAGGCUAGAAAUUUUCUUUAACUCAUCCAUCUAGGCACACGAAGUUCUAAUUAGCCUUUGAACAGACUUGGCACAUCCAAAUCAAAACUGCAGAUAAGAAAGAUUCUACGAGUCAGAGCCAUAAUAGCAAUGCUAAUAACAUCACCAUAAAAUUGUAUAGUAUUGGUAUGCUCAGCCAUAGGAAACAAUUUCCAGUGUGUUCAGAAUACAAGGUAUUUCUCGUUAACAAAUAUCAUAUCCAGGGUGUGCAUGAUUUCCUAAACAACUGCAAUGCAUCAAUUCUAAAGUAAAAACAAAUAGUUUUGAUGAUUCAUGAAACAGAAUUUAACCAUUCCUUUAGAUCACCUUUAAAAAAUACACAUUAAUAUAUUUCUGGCACGAUAUAGACGUAGAAAAGAAGAACAAUUUCCGUUUGAUAAAGAUCAGAAUAUUAGCUUUUUAAAUUAAUCCUUAUUACCUAAGUGUAGCCUAAAUCCCAAACAGGGAUUUUUCUCUUUUCUUUUCUUUUUCUUUUCCUUUUCUUCCCUUUCCCUUUCCUUUCCUUUCCUUUGUUUUCCUUUCCUUUCCUUUGUUUUCUUUCUUUUCUUUUUUCCUGCGACAGGGUCUCCCUCUGUUGCCAAGGCUGAAGGUCAGUGGCACUGUAACAGCUCACUGCAGCCUCCACCUCCCAAACUCAAGCGAUCCUCCCACCUCAGCCUCCCAAGUAGCUGGAACCACAUGCCCGGCAAUUAUUUUUUUCUUUUGGAUAGAGAUGGGGGUCACAUUAUGUUGCCCAGGCUGAUCUUCAACUCCUGGGCUGAAGCCCAGAGAUCUUUUUUUUUUUUGGCUUUACCCAUUCAACAUCAGUUUCAGAUAAUCACACCAGUCCUAUUUUCAAACUAGCUGGCAGUGCUUACAGUGACCUAUAUUGGUGGUAAAAUAUACUGGCCAAGUGAAACUGGUCUAUAGGGCUGUUAGUUCAUUUUUUUCAAGUGGACAGAGUGAAUCUGAUUUUCACCCACAUUCUUGAGACUUUUCAAUGGUGCUGAAAGACUAUUUGCAUGAUAUAUAAGUACUUCCUUGCAUCCCCAGUUUCAUAUCAAGACCUCCGUUUUUUCCUACUACUGGAGAUGAGUGACUGCGGGAGGAGGCUACUGAAAGCCUGGGGCGGCGGCCAGAGCUGCGGGGAGGCCCCGGCCUCAGCUCCACCCACCCCCAUCCUGCUCCAGGAGGCAAGAACGCGCAAAGUGAGCCUCCUUCCUAGGGACUACUGUGUGCGGUACCUGGGGGGUGCCAGCGCCCGCGGGGUGCGCACCCCUCUUUUCCCCGCCUGCCCCGCGUCCCCGGCUGCCAGGCCCGUAGAUGCGCGCGGGGCGACAGGGCUCCCAUGCUGCCCUGAGUGCAUAAAGAGCUGGGCAGCCAAGUUUACACCAGGUGACCUUUGCCCGCCUCCUUCACCUUUUCCUGUCUUCUUCACCCCGUCUUCUUUUCUUGCCCUCUGAUUCUCUUUCGGAACCACUCGACUCCUGUAGCUUGCUGGGUUUUUUUAGUUUUUCUUGUGUGUUUGUUUUUUGAGACGGAGUCUUGCUCUGUCGCCCAGGCGACUCACUGCAACUUCUGCCUCCCGGAUUCAAGCGAUUCUCCCGCUUCAGCCUCCUGAGUAGCUGGGAUUACAGGAGCACGCUGCCACGCCCGGCUAAUUUUUUUGUAUUUUUAGUAGAGAUGGGGUUUCACCAUGUUGGCCAGACUCGUCUCGAACUCCUGACCUCAGGCAAUCCGCCUGCCUUGGCCUCCCAAAGUGCUGAUUUCAGACGUGAGCCACAGCGCCCGGCCUUUUUUUUUUUUUUAAUGGAGUCUCGCUCUCACCCAGGCUGGAGUGCAGUGGCACGAUCUCGGCCCACUGCAACCUCCAGCUCCGAGGUUCCAGCGAUUCUCCUGCCUCAGCCUCCCGAAUAGCUGGGACUACAGGCGUGCGCCACCACACCCAGCUAAUUUUUCGUCGUUGUAUUAUUUAUUAGAGACAGGGUUUCACCAUAAUGGUCAGGUUGGUCUCAAACUCCUGACCUCGUGAUCUGCCCACCUCGGCCUCCUAAAGUGCUGGGAUUACAGGCGUGAGCCACGGCGCCCGGUCACUUUUUAACUCUCACUUCUCUGUCAAAGUGUUAGGCUUGUAUUUUCUCUUUAGAAGCCAUUCUUUUGCUUUCUGAAUAGAAUAAGUGAAUGGCCAGCUCUCUUUUUUUAAUUAUUUUUUUAGAGAUAGGGUCUCACCCUGUUGCCCAGGCUGAAGUGCAAUGGCAUGAUCAUAGCUCACUGCAACCUCAACUCUUGGGCUCAAGGAAUCUGCCUCAGCCUCCCAAGUAGCUAGGACUACAGGCACUUGCCACCACACCUGGCUAAUUUAAAAAAAAAAAAAAAAAUUGUAGAGACCAGGUCUCACUAUGUUCCACAGACUGGUCUUGAACUCCUGGCCUAAAGGGGUCCUCUCUUCUGCCCUCCCAAACGACUAGAAUUAUAGGCGUAAGCAACCGCUCCCGGCCUAAAUGGCCAGCUCUUGAAGCCUACCUUCCAUAUUUCCCAAAGAAACUGCCCAACUUUUACCCAAUGCGGUCAUAAUAUUUGUUUCCACAUUCCCAGUGGCAAUAUACAUGGGCUCCAGAUAUUCCGCAGCAUGGCCAACACUUGAUAUUGUCACUCUUUUUUUUAAUUCUAGCCAUUAUAGUGAGUGUAAAUGGUAUCUCAUUGUGAUUUUAAUUUCCAUUUCUUGGCUGGGCGGGGUGGCUCACACCUGUAAUCCUAGCACUUUGGGAGGCCAAGGCAGGCGGAUCACCUGAGGUCAGGAGUUCGAGACCAGCCUGGCCAACAUGGUGAAACCCCAUGCCUACUUAAAAUACAAAAAUUUGCCA
rnacentral:lncRNA from 1 species